rnacentral:rRNA from 1 species
UACAGAGGUCUCAAGCGUUGUUCGGAUUCAUUGGGCGUAAAGGGCGCGUAGGCGGCGGGGUCAGUCGGGUGUGAAAUCUUGGGGCUUAACCCCGAAACGGCACUCGAAACUGCCCGGCUGGAGGGCCGGAGAGGAGAUCGGAAUUCACGGGUGUAGCAGUGAAAUGCGUAGAGAUCGUGAGGAAGACCCGUGGCGAAGGCGGAUCUCUGGACGGCUAACUGACGCUGAGGCGCGAAGGCCGGGGAGCAAACGGG